UACGUAGGGUCCGAGCGUUGUCCGGAAUUACUGGGCGUAAAGAGCUCGUAGGUGGUUUGUCGCGUUGUUCGUGAAAACUCACAGCUCAACUGUGGGCGUGCGGGCGAUACGGGCAGACUAGAGUACUGCAGGGGAGACUGGAAUUCCUGGUGUAGCGGUGAAAUGCGCAGAUAUCAGGAGGAACACCGGUGGCGAAGGCGGGUCUCUGGGCCGUUACUGACGCUGAGGAGCGAAAGCGUGGGGAGCGAACAGG
rnacentral:rRNA from 1 species